ensembl:rRNA 5S_rRNA 5S ribosomal RNA
GCUUACGGCCACACCUCCCUGAGAACGCCCGAUCUGGUCUGAUCUCGGAAGCUAUGCAGGGUCGGGCCUGGUUAGUACUUGGAUGGGAGACCGCCUGGGAAUACCAGGUGCUGUAAGCC